rnacentral:rRNA from 1 species
AGAGUUUGAUCAUGGCUCAGAUUGAACGCUGGCGGCAGGCCUAACACAUGCAAGUCGAGCGGUAGCACAGAGAGCUUGCUCUCGGGUGACGAGCGGCGGACGGGUGAGUAAUGUCUGGGAAACUGCCUGAUGGAGGGGGAUAACUACUGGAAACGGUAGCUAAUACCGCAUAACGUCGCAAGACCAAAGUGGGGGACCUUCGGGCCUCAUGCCAUCAGAUGUGCCCAGAUGGGAUUAGCUAGUAGGUGGGGUAACGGCUCACCUAGGCGACGAUCCCUAGCUGGUCUGAGAGGAUGACCAGCCACACUGGAACUGAGACACGGUCCAGACUCCUACGGGAGGCAGCAGUGGGGAAUAUUGCACAAUGGGCGCAAGCCUGAUGCAGCCAUGCCGCGUGUGUGAAGAAGGCCUUCGGGUUGUAAAGCACUUUCAGCGGGGAGGAAGGCGGUGAGGUUAAUAACCUCACCGAUUGACGUUACCCGCAGAAGAAGCACCGGCUAACUCCGUGCCAGCAGCCGCGGUAAUACGGAGGGUGCAAGCGUUAAUCGGAAUUACUGGGCGUAAAGCGCACGCAGGCGGUCUGUCAAGUCGGAUGUGAAAUCCCCGGGCUCAACCUGGGAACUGCAUUCGAAACUGGCAGGCUAGAGUCUUGUAGAGGGGGGUAGAAUUCCAGGUGUAGCGGUGAAAUGCGUAGAGAUCUGGAGGAAUACCGGUGGCGAAGGCGGCCCCCUGGACAAAGACUGACGCUCAGGUGCGAAAGCGUGGGGAGCAAACAGGAUUAGAUACCCUGGUAGUCCACGCCGUAAACGAUGUCGAUUUGGAGGUUGUGCCCUUGAGGCGUGGCUUCCGGAGCUAACGCGUUAAAUCGACCGCCUGGGGAGUACGGCCGCAAGGUUAAAACUCAAAUGAAUUGACGGGGGCCCGCACAAGCGGUGGAGCAUGUGGUUUAAUUCGAUGCAACGCGAAGAACCUUACCUGGUCUUGACAUCCACAGAACUUAGCAGAGAUGCUUUGGUGCCUUCGGGAACUGUGAGACAGGUGCUGCAUGGCUGUCGUCAGCUCGUGUUGUGAAAUGUUGGGUUAAGUCCCGCAACGAGCGCAACCCUUAUCCUUUGUUGCCAGCGGUUAGGCCGGGAACUCAAAGGAGACUGCCAGUGAUAAACUGGAGGAAGGUGGGGAUGACGUCAAGUCAUCAUGGCCCUUACGACCAGGGCUACACACGUGCUACAAUGGCAUAUACAAAGAGAAGCGACCUCGCGAGAGCAAGCGGACCUCAUAAAGUAUGUCGUAGUCCGGAUUGGAGUCUGCAACUCGACUCCAUGAAGUCGGAAUCGCUAGUAAUCGUAGAUCAGAAUGCUACGGUGAAUACGUUCCCGGGCCUUGUACACACCGCCCGUCACACCAUGGGAGUGGGUUGCAAAAGAAGUAGGUAGCUUAACCUUCGGGAGGGCGCUUACCACUUUGUGAUUCAUGACUGGGGUGAAGUCGUAACAAGGUAACCGUAGGGGAACCUGCGGUUGGAUCACCU